rnacentral:lncRNA from 1 species
UUUGUCUGUUUUAGGGCGUGAUCGCUGCCUUCACCUCCGUGGCAACUCACACAGCCUUAAGUGAAGAAUCAAGACACCUGCCUAGCCGUUGUUGUGAGGGCUCCUCCUCAGUGGAGCCUGCUGUCUUGUCUUGUUUGGUUUUGAAUUGUUUUACCUUGUCUUAUUUGGUUUUAUUAAGUAGGCCUACCAUUUCCUGGUUCGCCUGGUUUUAUUUUAUUUUAUCUCUGGAUUGUUACGUGUGCCCACGCUUCUGUGAUCGGGCUGAAGCAAUUCUUUGCCCGAGUGUCGUGCCGGGGAUUUUAAAUUGCCCCCGUUGCUGGUCUUAGCCUGUGGGGAGCCAGACCAGCUCGCGAUUGAGGCUGGGACCAUUACUACCAGUACGAGUGGACCCGCGGGGCACAAGCCUUCCUGUGUGUUGAACGGAGGACGUACCAGUGGCCCUGGGACCUUAGGUGGUGGGUCGUUUUCACACUUUCUUUUGUACAGCACCGGGUGGGCUGCAGUGAUUUUCGUUUUGUGUGAUUUUCUUUUGGGUCCACGGCUGCUGGUGAGUCCAAGUUCUAUGAUUGUUUUAUUUUCACGUUAAGACACUGUCAACAAUGACGCUACAUUUUGGUUUUUAAUAUUUUAUUUAUUUUUAUUAUAAAUAAACUGUUUUAAUAUUGGAGCCAACCUGCCUCGGAGUGCAUCCUUGAAUCUGUGCGGCCUCUUUUUAUUCCUUUUAUUUAUUUUUCUUAAAUAUAUUUCCUAGGGGUGAAAAUCCCCUAGGUGGCGUUGUCAUUUUAUUUCCUUUUAUCUAACCCCACCGACCACUUGGUCACACUACCAUCAUGUCAGCUGCUCUUUUUAAGGCUCCCCCGACACCAUCUGGUCCUCCUUUUCCAUGACUAGCCUCGAAAAAAUUCCAAGAACCAGCCUUGAAUCCUCUUCUGUCCAGUUCUGUAGUGAAAAAUUAGAGGUUUCCUCGUUGUUUGUAUCGCGUACAGGGUCCGUCACUUAAAAAGUGCAGCACAGACACUUGUGGAUGUUGGCCUUGAAGGUAAUCUAGCACAGGAUUUAGGUGCUGCCAUAUUGCUGGAGGGCCUUUAUGUCUACUGGGGGAGAUGGUGCUAAAGCACAGAGGCUCUGAGAGUCCACCAACAUACAACACAACAGUAUGAAGGGUGGCCUGCUGAUGUGAAGCCCCAAAGUGGACCGCCUGAACUUGAGAACUGUAUUUACAGCUGUAGUUUUCUGAGAAGUCAACAUGUAUCAAAGCCUCCUCCCCUGACAUGUUGUUCUUCAGCUCACGGCAGAAGGCAUAC